rnacentral:rRNA from 1 species
UACUCCAGAGUACCACGAGACACGUGAAACCUUGUGGGAAGCUGGGAGGACCAUCUCCCAAGGCUAAAUACUACCUAGUGCCCGAUAGUGAAGCAGUACCGUGAGGGAAAGGUGAAAAGAACCCCGGAAGGGGAGUGAAAUAGAAUCUGAAACCGUGUGCCUACAAUCGGUCGGAGCACAUUAAAGUGUGACGGCGUACUUUUUGUAGAACGGGCCAGCGAGUUACGAUAUAUAGCAAGGUUAAGCACUUAUGGUGUGGAGCCGAAGGGAAACCGAGUCUGAAUAGGGCAACUAGUUGUAUAUUGUAGACCCGAAACCGGGUGACCUAUCCAUGGCCAGGAUGAAGCGGAAGUAAAAUUCCGUGGAGGUCCGAACCACGUUGGUGUUGAAAAACCAUGGGAUGAGCUGUGGAUAGCGGAGAAAUUCCAAUCGAACUCGGAGAUAGCUGGUUCUCCUCGAAAUAGCUUUAGGGCUAGCGUCGGGUAAUUGAGUAGUGGAGGUAGAGCACUGAAUGGGCUAGGGGCUGACAACAGUUACUGAACCCUAUCAAACUCCGAAUGCCAUAUACUUGUACCCCGGCAGUCAGACUACGAAUGAUAAGAUCCGUGGUCAAAAGG